rnacentral:rRNA from 1 species
AAUUUUGGACAAUGGGGGAAACCCUGAUCUAGCAACCCCGCGUGUAUGAAGAAGGCAUUCGGUUGGUAAAGUACUUUUGGUAGAGAAGAAAAGGUACCUCCUGAAAUGACCGCCCGUUGACUGUACCUCAAGAAAAAGCCACGGCUAACUACGUGCCAUCAGCCGCGGUAAUACGUAGGGUGCAAGCGUUGUUCGGAAUUACUGGGCGUAAAGCGUGUGUAGGCGGUCCGUAAAGUAAGAUGUGAAAGACCACGGCUCAACCGUGGAAGUGCAUUUGAAACUGCCGGGCUAGAGUACGUAAGAGGGAGGUAGAAUGCAACGUGUAGCAGUGAAAUGCGUAGAUAUGUGGAGGAAUACCGAUGGCGAAGGCAGCCCCCUGGGAUGAUACUGACGCUCAGACACGAAAGCGUGGGGAGCAAACAG